UACGUAGGGUCCGAGCGUUGUCCGGAAUUACUGGGCGUAAAGAGCUCGUAGGUGGUUUGUCGCGUUGUUCGUGAAAACUCACAGCUCAACUGUGGGCGUGCGGGCGAUACGGGCAGACUUGAGUACUGCAGGGGAGACUGGAAUUCCUGGUGUAGCGGUGGAAUGCGCAGAUAUCAGGAGGAACACCGGUGGCGAAGGCGGGUCUCUGGGCAGUAACUGACGCUGAAGCGCGACAGCGUGGGGAGCAAACAGG
rnacentral:rRNA from 1 species